AAGAGAUAAACAUACAUACAGUGUGACUACCCCACCCUUGCCUACCAUCUUAUGAGGGUGGGUGGUCGGAGAAAUGGAGAAUGGGAUUAUUUAAUUUUAAGAAAAAAAGCAGACAGUUUUUGACGUAUUUCAACGACAGGAUAUCUUCAGUAAAAUAGAUUUAUAGCUCCAUGACGCAAAGUUCCACAAAAUGCACUUCCCCAGAAAAGCCGCGUGACAAUUUGCAUCUCCGUCGUGCUGCCAGGAGAACAUUUCAAGUCAUCAAAGAUGUAGAAAGACAUGCUUCUAUUUUUUCGGAAACAAAAAAUACUGAUAGAAAAGCCGAUGGAAAUUGUUCAGUAUCCGAUCCCCAAAAUGCAACGCAUAGUGUAAUGGUUCCAGUUGCAAUUCUUUUGUUACAACGUAGAUGAAAAGUGUUCCAUUAGUGAAUUUACAGUUUGCAUAAUCAUAUAUUAGUCGUUUGUGAGGAGUAAAUUUGAUUUGUAUUUGUCCAUAAGAAAAGGAUAUAAUUCCUACAAAGAACAGGAAACACGGUUGUACAUUAUGUAAAUACAUGUAAAUACAAAUAGUUAUAUAAAGGGUGAUGGGUCAUAUAAUAACCAGUAAAAUUAUGUUAAUCACGCACACUGAAAACAAGUAAUUCGUUACUUGUUGUAGCAUAGUCUGAGCACUGGUGUUGGUGACAUAUAUAAAUAUAGCUCUUAUAUAACAUACGAAAGCACGCAACAUGUGUGAUGUCCCAACCUAUAGAUCCGUAGAAUACCAAUAUUUACAUAUUUUUGGCUACAUUUUAGUGACUUAAUCACAUGGACUAAAUUACGCGUAGUUAAUUUGUAACGUGCGUAACUUAGAUCUAUAAUUCGAUUUUAUAGAUUUUUUUUUUUCAAAUAAAUGUUGUUUAGUUUAAAUAAUAAAACACCGGAACGUACCGAAUUUUCUUUUAAAAACGUCACGAAAAAUGUAUAAUAAAAACGGAGGGAUGUUACAUAUAGUUGAAAGCUAUUUCACGUAUAAACAUUUAUGCUUUUCACGUAUACAUCAUUUAUUUAGCAUGUGUAUAAUGUAGUCAUUUAUAUAACAAAUAUGUGAAAAUGUAAGUUUCAUCUGAUGAACAUACAUUUUACACACUACACGCGAUGCCAAAGAAACAAACAAUGUAAAUAGUCAGAUAUAUAGAAUGUGUAUGUGCAAAAAUAAUGUGCAGCUCAUGUGUGAGGAUGACUGAAUAUGCGUGAUCUCUGCAAAUAUGCAUCUUCUUGAAAAAUAACUUGUUCCAGUUUUUACUGGCGGAGAAAAAAAUCUUGAAACAUGAACAUUGUACAACCUAAAUUUUAUUACAUUAUACAUUUUGAAACCGUUUUCUUGAAUUAUACACGAGAAAAAGACAGAAAGUCUUGCUAAAUUAUAUUUUUGUCAAACAACUUUUCAUGUUGGAGAAAAUGACAAAUGCUACCAAACUAUCUUAAAGUUUUCUUAUGUGCGAAAGAGGAUUGAACGUGUGUAUAUAGAUAUAUGUAAUGUGUUAUAUUAGAAGUAAAAAUGUUUAAUGAAUGUAUUAGGCAUGUAACUUUUAACACGAGUUCAUUGUUUUGUAAGAAAAUUUGCCAAUGUGUUUUGUAAGAAAAUUUGCAAAUGUGUUAAGAUAUGGGUAAAUGUGAAGUGUAAUUUCUAGUCAUGACUUUAAUAUAUGUAAUAAUUGUAAUUGCAUUCGUGUAUGUAUAUAUUUGCUAAGUGUAUUUUUCGUCAAUGUCAUAAGUAUAUGGAAUGUUAUUAAAAAAGACAUGUUAAAUGAGUUGCUACCUGGAAAACAACAGAUGUUUCUAAUCACAGGCAAAUUCGCAGUUGUUCAAUAAAAUGUAAAUUGCGUUCAUUAGCAUGUCUUUAUGAUAAUAUUUCCGAUACAAAAGCCAGGCGCUCGUGCAAUAUUGUUUAAAAUUGUUUACAUCCGAGGUUAUAUCAACAUAUAGUUUCAUUGUACAAAUCAUUUAGAGAUGUGAUAUACCUAAAUUCUGGUUUUCUGCAGAAAAAAACACCACCAAGUGUCAUAUGUUUUAUGAUGACAUAAUCCGUUAAUAACAUAAGAAACUUUGCAUCUAAUUUGUAAAACUGAAGUUUGUUUAGGACAUUAAUCAAAAUAAAGAAACAUUUGAGACAUACUCAUAAAGGUUAUUACCUGCAUCUCAUCUGAUGGUAAAUUUAAUUUUGAACAUUUUGAUAAAUAAAACAUGCAUGUCCUUUAUUUUAUUCUCGAAUUUUAACAUAAGCAUUGUAUGCGAAAAACGCGGGUUCUUUUUCGCGUUACUCCAACGUUUUGCGCGUCGCUAUUGUGUUACAUAUUCAUUUUUAAAACAUUAUUUUGGUAUUCUUAUGUUAUGAUGAUAGUAUUUCUGCAGAAAAUAUAUCAUUACUAUCGUUCCCAUACAUGGAAACGAGGCUCUGCAUGCUGCAUUGUGAUAUUUAUAGUUAUUAUCCUUACCAGUUCCCCAUCCCUAGCUCCCCCUACCCCGCAUUAAAAAUAUCCACACCGAUUAAAUUGUGUGGCUGUUUCAAUAAAUUUAUUUUUGAUAUCUGUAUUUUUUUAAACAAAAGAAAUAUUUAUCAUUGAAAACAUAUACCAUUUAGCAUCUAUCCCCGCAGCUCACACACUGAAAGAUUCAUUCAAGUUGAAUGUGUGUAUUUGUAUAUAGACCAAAAUCUAAUAUUUACUCUCCCUCCACACCAAAUACCCCAUAUAUAGUUCCGUUAUUGAGAAACGGUACCAAAAAUACUCAAGUUUUGUUUAAGGGGGACAAACUGUCUAAGUGACGCGAGCAGUGUUCAUUUAUAGUCUUGCCUUUCCGCAGGUUGAACUGUUUGUGCGGACAUAUUGGAAAAUGCGACUUCAAGUGUUCUUGCGCGUGCAUCAUGUUACAGAACCUUUGAAUGUAUAUGUAACUAUUGUGACAAACAGUCAUUAAAAUGUUAAUAAUGUUUUAAUUUCUAGAGAUGAUUUUGUAAUAUCUUUAUUUUCAUAAAUAUUUAUAACAAGAAAUGGAAUAAAGUAAUGAUCAGUGAA
rnacentral:lncRNA from 1 species